UACGGGGGGAGCAAGCGUUGUUCGGAUUUACUGGGCGUAAAGGGCGCGUAGGCGGCCUGUGCAAGUCAGUUGUGAAAUCUCCGGGCUUAACUCGGAACGGUCAACUGAUACUGCUCGGCUAGAGUGCAGAAGGGACAACUGGAAUUCUUGGUGUAGCGGUGAAAUGCGUAGAUAUCAAGAGGAACACCUGCGGCGAAGGCGGGUUGCUGGGCUGACACUGACGCUGAAGUGCGAAAGCUAGGGGAGCGAACGGG
rnacentral:rRNA from 1 species